CGGGUGAGUAACGCGUGGGUAACCUGCCUUGUACAGGGGGAUAACAGUUGGAAACGGCUGCUAAUACCGCAUAAGCGCACGGCAUCGCAUGAUGCAGUGUGAAAAACUCCGGUGGUAUAAGAUGGACCCGCGUUGGAUUAGCUAGUUGGUGAGGUAACGGCCCACCAAGGCGACGAUCAGUAGCCGGCCUGAGAGGGUGAUCGGCCACAUUGGGACUGAGACACGGCCCAA
rnacentral:rRNA from 1 species